GAUGAAGAACGCAGCGAAAUGCGAUAAGUAAUGCGAAUUGCAGAAUUCAGUGAAUCAUCGAAUCUUUGAACGCACAUUGCGCCCGCUAGUAUUCUGGCGGGCAUGCCUGUUCGAGCGUCAUUACAACCCUCAGGCCCCCGGGCCUGGCGUUGGGGAUCGGCGGAGCCCCCCGUGGGCACACGCCGUCCCCCAAAUACAGUGGCGGUCCCGCCGCAGCUUCCAUCGCGUAGUAGCUAACACCUCGCGACUGGAGAGCGGCGCGGCCACGCCGUAAAACACCCAACUCUUCUGAAGUUGACCUCGAAUCAGGUAGGAAUACCCGCUGAACUUAAGCAUAUCAAUAAGCGGAGGA
rnacentral:misc_RNA from 1 species